rnacentral:lncRNA from 1 species
GGAUAGUUCCUGGGGGCCACACAAAGAGGAAUGACCCAGCUUCUGAUACCAAAUGUGCAUGUGUUUUUUUCACAGCAAAUCAGAAAUUCUGCAAUAUCAACCUGUCUCCACAGGUCAACUCUUUUAAAAAUAGUUUUUAAUCAUACACUGUUAUGGGGUAGAAUGUGAUAAUUCAAUACAUGCAUAAUGAUCAAAUCAUGGUAGAUAACAUUUUCAUCUCUCUAAAAUUUUAAAAAUUAAUAUGUAAUAAUUGUACAUAUAUAUGGAGUAUGGUGUGAUUGUUUUCUUUUCUUUUUUUAGACAGAGUUUUGCUAUGUAGCUCAGGCUGAUCUUUAACUCACUAAGUAGCUUCGAAUCCAUGACAAUCUUCCUGCCUCAGCAUCCUGAGUGCUGAAAUUACAAGCAUACAUCACCAUGCCUGACCAGUGCAUAUAUCAGUACUGAUCAAAUUAGUAUUGUGUACCCUGGACUGAAAUCUCAAUUUCCUGCAAGGUAAUAUGAUGCAAGGUGAAAAGAAGACACAAAGAUUCACAGCAAAAUGGGGAACUGGGAUGGACCACGCUGAGCAUGUAGCGAGAACCCCAAGCAACCAGAACCACAGGGCCCUUCUCACCUUGGCUACCGCAGGAGCUUCAUGGCUGCAGAGGACUGAAAAUGUACGUCUCUUCCCUCGAGGUUCCAGCUGCUUCCCUCCUUUUUGAUAUUUACAGUCUAUAAAAUCCAAUACAGAGAUGAAAAUGAUGGGUGAAGGAAGCCAAAAAGGCUGUGAGCUGAGUCAGACUGUCAGCAUGAUGCUGCUCCAGGUGUGGGGCAUCAUGGAGAGCAGUGAGGCUUAUAAACUCACAAACGGUGUCUGUUAACCAGACCAGGGGUGACAGCAGGAG